rnacentral:rRNA from 1 species
GACGAACGCUGGCGGCGUGCCUAAUACAUGCAAGUAGAACGCUGAAGGAGGAGCUUGCUCUUCUGGAUGAGUUGCGAACGGGUGAGUAACGCGUAGGUAACCUGCCUGGUAGCGGGGGAUAACUAUUGGAAACGAUAGCUAAUACCGCAUAAGAGUAGAUGUCGCAUGACAUUUGCUUAAAAGGUGCAAUUGCAUCACUACCAGAUGGACCUGCGUUGUAUUAGCUAGUUGGUGAGGUAACGGCUCACCAAGGCAACGAUACAUAGCCGACCUGAGAGGGUGAUCGGCCACACUGGGACUGAGACACGGCCCAGACUCCUACGGGAGGCAGCAGUAGGGAAUCUUCGGCAAUGGACGGAAGUCUGACCGAGCAACGCCGCGUGAGUGAAGAAGGUUUUCGGAUCGUAAAGCUCUGUUGUAAGAGAAGAACGAGUGUGAGAGUGGAAAGUUCACACUGUGACGGUAUCUUACCAGAAAGGGACGGCUAACUACGUGCCAGCAGCCGCGGUAAUACGUAGGUCCCGAGCGUUGUCCGGAUUUAUUGGGCGUAAAGCGAGCGCAGGCGGUUAGAUAAGUCUGAAGUUAAAGGCUGUGGCUUAACCAUAGUACGCUUUGGAAAACUAUUUAACUUGAGUGCGAGGGGGGAGAGUGGAAUUUCCAUGUGUAGCGGUGAAAUGCGUAGAUAUAUGGAGGAACACCGGGUGGCGAAAGCGGCUCUUUGGCUUGUAUACUGACGCUGAGGCUCAAAAGCGCGAGGGAGAAAACAAAAUAAAUAUCUUUGUUGUGCUAGUGCCAAAUUGAUGUGGGGAUGGAAGCCCGUUCUGUCCGCGGGUUUGUAGAAGAAAAAUAUAAAAAAU